CCAAACUGUUGCCUCGGCGGGAUCUCUGCCCCGGGUGCGUCGCAGCCCCGGACCAAGGCGCCCGCCGGAGGACCAACCAAAACUCUUAUUGUAUACCCCCUCGCGGGUUUUUUUAUAAUCUGAGCCUUCUCGGCGCCUCUCGUAGGCGUUUCGAAAAUGAAUCAAAACUUUCAACAACGGAUCUCUUGGUUCUGGCAUCGAUGAAGAACGCAGCGAAAUGCGAUAAGUAAUGUGAAUUGCAGAAUUCAGUGAAUCAUCGAAUCUUUGAACGCACAUUGCGCCCGCCAGUAUUCUGGCGGGCAUGCCUGUCCGAGCGUCAUUUCAACCCUCGAACCCCUCCGGGGGGUCGGCGUUGGGGAUCGGCCCUGCCUUGGCGGUGGCCGUCUCCGAAAUACAGUGGCGGUCUCGCCGCAGCCUCUCCUGCGCAGUAGUUUGCACACUCGCAUCGGGAGCGCGGCGCGUCCACAGCCGUUAAACACCCAACUUCUGAAAUGUUGACCUCGGAUCAGGUAGGAAUACCCGCUGAACUUAAGCAUAUCA
rnacentral:rRNA from 1 species